GAGACCCGUACCCACAGUUGCCAGCGGCUGCUCAGGCAGGCUGGGUACACUGUGGGGACCGCCUCUGCUAAAGAGGAGGAAGGAGCGGGCGACGGUAGGUCAGUAUGCCCCGAAUUCUCCGGGCUACACGCGGGCUACAAUGGAUGGGACAAUGGGCUCCGACACCGAAAGGUGAAGGCAAUCUCUUAAACCCAUUCUUAGUUCGGAUUGGGGGCUGAAACUCGCCCUCAUGAAGCUGGAAUCCGUAGUAAUCGCGUUUCAAAAUAGCGCGGUGAAUAC
rnacentral:rRNA from 1 species